rnacentral:rRNA from 1 species
UACGGAGGGUGCAAACGUUGCUCGGAAUUACUGGGCGUAAAGCGUGCGCAGGCGGCUUUGCAAGACAGAUGUGAAAUCCCCGGGCUCAACCUGGGAACUGCAUUUGUGACUGCAUGGCUGGAGUGCGGCAGAGGGGGAUGGAAUUCCGCGUGUAGCAGUGAAAUGCGUAGAUAUGCGGAGGAACACCGAUGGCGAAGGCAAUCCCCUGGGCCUGCACUGACGCUCAUGCACGAAAGCGUGGGGAGCAAACAGG